UAGAAAGAUCAAAAUUGGCAUAACUGCUGUUUUUUAAGAUAGAAAGAUGGGACGUGGUACAGAUUCUAUUUUGGGCAAAAUAAUCUUAUUUGCCAAAUUUGAUUGUGUUUUUGUUGCCGUCGCUAUGAACUGUUCGGGAUAUAAGAUCCCGGUUAGCUAAAAAUAGAUCAAUUCAAUAAGCAGCUGUUGCUAAAUAUAUUACAAUUAUUUUAAGCCGUUGUGUUUGUAGCUGCUGGCUCUACAUCCUCCCCUCAUUGAAGGGCCUACAAUAGAAGGGCAUAGAAUAGAAGUCCUGGUGGGCAGCAGUAUACCUACUUGGUGGAAUCCGUCCCAUCCAUGAAUCGUGAAAGGUGAAAAAGGCACACAACCUUGACCCGGCCUUGCUCCCCCAAUAGGCCAAUGCUGGAGUCAAAUUUUUGGGAUAAGCAAAUAAUGAACAGAACACUGACUUUUCUCUUUUUUUGUCCUGCAUUUGGUAACACACGAAGCAGGUGACACCCUUGGUAGGCCACCGCGUCCAGAAACCACCCUGCCAAAUCGCUGAUUCUGGGAAAUGGGAAGGCAAGAACCGUACUGGAUUUGGCCAACUGCCAGAAGGUUUCGACCUGGCUAGCUUCAAUCAGCUUCAGGAAAGUUUCUGGCUGUGUGGAGAUUAAAUCUGCCACACGCCAAAAAAGGUGGCAGGAGGGGGCAGGCAAGCCACCACGGCUCCGCACACGGAAAAAGGAGAAAUAUGAGACGACGUGGAACGUUCCGGGCGGGCCAGAGCGGCUGUGCUAGGAAGAUGUGGGAAAGAGCGGCCCACGGUGGCGGCUGUGUUUAGAAAAUGCAGAAGCGAAGACUAGUUUUUGGACUAAUGCCAGAAUCUUUAAUUCAUUCGAACCAAAUAUUGAAACGGAUUUAUCCCUUUUAAUGAAUACUGGAAUCAGGAAACACUUAAUUGUAAAUUCAAAAAUGUGAUUCGUGAUUUACAUUUUUUUUCUCUUCACUUGAUGUAUUAAAAGAUAUUUGAUAA